AGUGGCGAACGGGUGAGUAAAGUAUCGGAACGUGCCCAGUCGUGGGGGAUAACGUAGCGAAAGUUACGCUAAUACCGCAUACGAUCUAUGGAUGAAAGCGGGGGAUCGCAAGACCUCGCGCGAUUGGAGCGGCCGAUAUCAUAUUAGGUAGUUGGUGGGGUAAAGGCUCACCAAGCCGACGAUCUGUAGCUGGUCUGAGAGGACGACCACCCACACUGGGACUGAGACACGGCCCAUACUCCUACGGGAGGCAGCAGUGGGGAAUUUUGGACAAUGGGCGCAAGCCUGAUCCAGCCAUGCCGCGUGCAGGAUGAAGGCCUUCGGGUUGUAAACUGCUUUUGUACGGAACGAAAAGGUUUGGCCUAAUAAGCUGAGCUCAUGACGGUACCGUAAGAAUAAGCACCGGCUAACUACGUGCCAGCAGCCGCGGUAAUACGUAGGGUGCGAGCGUUAAUCGGAAUUACUGGGCGUAAAGCGUGCGCAGGCGGUUAUAUAAGACAGAUGUGACAUCCCCGGGCUCAACCUGGGAACUGCAUUAGUGACUGCAUAGCUGGAGUACGGCAGAGGGGGGAUGGAAUUCCGCGUGUAGCAGUGAAAUGCGUAUAUAUGCGGAGGAACACCGAUGGCGAAGGCACUCCCUCUGGGUCCUGUACUGACGCUCAUGCACGAAGCGGUGGG
rnacentral:rRNA from 1 species